AAUAACCAAAAAUAACACUAGGAUUUAGUGUUAAGUUAGUAAUUUUUCUAACAUCUCCUCCUCCUGGAGCCCAAGUAUCGUAUACACCACCAAAAUAAAGAGCUUUUAAUACUAAUAAAAAAGCUCCUAAACCUAAUAAAAUAAGAUGAAUUCCUAAAAUAGUAGUCAUCUUAUUUUUAUCUUUCCA
rnacentral:antisense_RNA from 1 species